rnacentral:rRNA from 1 species
CCCGCUGAACUUAAGCAUAUAAUUAAGCGGAGGAAAAGAAACUAACUAGGAUUCCCUCAGUAGUGGCGAGCGAAGCGGGAAGAGCCCAAACCGUAAAUCAACAGUCUCGUACUGUUGAGUUGAGGUUUUGCUGAAUGACCAGACAAGUGUCAGGGUUAAGCCUCGUGGAUGCGAGCGUCAAAGAGGGUGAGGACCCCGUCCUUACUCUGAACAACUUGUCGGACGGUCUUCAGCUUAUGAGUCGUGUUCCUUGGGAGUGGAGCGCAAAUCGGGUGGUAGCUUUCAUCCACGGCUAGAUAUUGAAAAGACGCCGAUAGUGAAGAAGUACCGUGAGGGAAAGAUGAAAAGAACCUCGAAAGGGGGAUUAAAAUUGCCUGAAACCGUUGAAAGGGAACCGAUUGGAGAUUUAUUUGCCAUGCUCAAGAAGCUUUCGGGCUCUUGGCUUGCAAGCUGGUUAGGUCGAAAUCUAUUACGGGAGCUUCAACUGUACAUGUGCUCUGCAGAUGUGUUGUGGUUUUCAGUGUAGAUUUUGGCGAGUGAUGUAACCAUCGCAAACAUCUUCAAACGACCCGUCUUGAAACACGG